UAGGGAAUCUUCGGCAAUGGACGAAAGUCUGACCGAGCAACGCCGCGUGAGUGAAGAAGGUUUUCGGAUCGUAAAACUCUGUUGUUAGAGAAGAACAAGGACGUUAGUAACUGAACGUCCCCUGACGGUAUCUAACCAGAAAGCCACGGCUAACUACGUGCCAGCAGCCGCGGUAAUACGUAGGUGGCAAGCGUUGUCCGGCUUUAUUGGGCGUAAAGCGAGCGCAGGCGGUUUCUUAAGUCUGAUGUGAAAGCCCCCGGCUCAACCGGGGAGGGUCAUUGGAAACUGGGAGACUUGAGUGCAGAAGAGGGGAGUGGAAUUCCAUGUGUAGCGGUGAAAUGCGUAGAUAUAUGGAGGAACACCAGUGGCGAAGGCGGCUCUCUGGUCUGUAACUGACGCUGAGGCUCGAAAGCGUGGGGAGCAAACAGG
rnacentral:rRNA from 1 species